rnacentral:rRNA from 1 species
UACAGAGGUGCCGAGCGUUAGGCGGAAUCACUGGGCUUAAAGCGUGUGUAGGCGGGUGCCUAAGUACCUUGUGAAAUCCCACGGCUCAACCGUGGAACUGCUGGGUAUACUGGGUGCCUUGGGUCAUCUAGGGGCUGCCGGAACAAAUGGUGGAGCGGUGAAAUGCGUAGAUAUCAUUUGGAACGCCAACGGCGAAAGCAGGCAGCUGGGGAUGCACCGACGCUGAGACACGAAAGCCAGGGGAGCGAACGGG